rfam:Schistosoma mansoni strain Puerto Rico chromosome 6, complete genome
AUCCGGCUGACGAGUACUAAAUAGGACGAAAUACGAGUCCUGGAU